UGGGGAAUUUUGCACAAUGGGGGAAACCCUGAUGCAGCGACGCCGCGUGAUUUAGAAGGCCUUCGGGUUGUAAAAAUCUUUUCUAUGGGAAGAAAAUGACAGUACCAUAGGAAUAAGGACCGGCUAAUUACGUGCCAGCAGCCGCGGUAAUACGUAAGGUCCGAGCGUUGUCCGGAAUCAUUGGGGGUAAAGGGUACGUAGGCGGGUAAGCAAGUUAGAAGUGAAAUCCUAUAGCUCAACUAUAGUAAGCUUUUAAAACUGCUCAUCUUGAGGUAUGGAAGGGAAAGUGGAAUUCCUGGUGUAGCGGUGAAAUGCGCAGAUAUUAGGAGGAAUACCGGUGGCGAAGGCGACUUUCUGGCCAUAACCUGACGCUGAGGUACGAAAGCGUGGGUAGCAAACAGG
rnacentral:rRNA from 1 species